AGAUCGGUCUAUGACCUCUGAGCUCACUCCGUAAUGGGGAAGACUAGCUGGGUGACCAGCAGACGAUCGAGGUGAAUUACACUGGGACCACCGUGGUACAAUUGAACCACGCGCGCAUGGGGUCCCAAACACAUAUUUUCGAAUCCUGGCCACGAUCCGAGUGUAGGAAGGGCUUCCACUCGGGAAUCGCGGCCUGUUGUUGCUGGCGGUGGUGUUGCUGGCGGUGUGCGUGACCACCAGUGAAGCAUACAUUAAAUGCAAGACCUAUUGCCCCGGACCAUCUGGCAAAAUAUAUUGCUGUGACUAAAACCCUGGCACGUGUCCAGGAAACUCACAAUGCCAUGGACGGAUAUGCUCCUUCGACCAAGAUUGCUUACCACACGAAAAAUGCUGCCGUAAAUCAUGUGGCGGGAAAACUUGCACAAAUGUUCGUCCGUACAGGCUCCCCUAACCACCACCACAACCACCACCACCACUUUGACCUGAGAGGAAACAUGAAUCUGAUGUUAACUGUUGCUAAUUGAUGUUAAAUAAUUAUGAAAUAAACCAUUGGCUAAAAUAUAAUUUGUUUUGUAUAUC